CAGUAGCCACGGUAAUACGUAGGUCCCGAGCGUUGUCCGGAUUUAUUGGGCGUAAAGGGAGCGCAGGCGGUUUAGUAAGUCUGAAGUUAAAGGCAUUGGCUCAACCAAUGUAUGCUUUGGAAACUGUUAGACUUGAGUGCAGAAGGGGAGAGUGGAAUUCCAUGUGUAGCGGUGAAAUGCGUAGAUAUAUGGAGGAACACCGGUGGCGAAAGCGGCUCUCUGGUCUGUCACUGACGCUGAGGCUCGAAAGCGUGGGUAGCGAACAGGAUUAGAUACCCCCGUAGUCCCUGUCUCUUAUACA
rnacentral:rRNA from 1 species